rnacentral:rRNA from 1 species
GUAGGCUGCAACCCGCCUACAUGAAGUUGGAAUUGCUAGUAAUCGCAGAUCAGAAUGCUGCGGUGAAUACGUUCCCGGGCCUUGUACACACCGCCCGUCACACCAUGGGAGCCGGUAAUACCCGAAGUCAGUAGCCUAACAGCAAUGAGGGCGCGGUCGAAGGUGGGUUCGAUAAUUGGGGUGAAGUCGUAACAAGGUAGC